UGGCUAUUAGUGGGGGACAACAUUUCGAAAGGGAUGCUAAUACCGCAUACGUCCUACGGGAGAAAGCAGGGGAUCUUCGGACCUUGCGCUAAUAGAUGAGCCUAAGUCGGAUUAGCUAGUUGGUGGGGUAAAGGCCUACCAAGGCGACGAUCUGUAGCGGGUCUGAAAAGAUGAUUCGGCCACACUGGGACUGAGACACGGCCCAGACUCCUACGGGAGGCAGCAGUGGGGAAUAUUGGACAAUGGGGGGAACCCUGAUCCAGCCAUGCCGCGUGUGUGAAGAAGGCCUUAUGGUUGUAAAGCACUUUAAGCGAGGAGGAGGGUACUGGUAUUAAUACUACCAGGUACUGGACGUUACUCGCAGAAUAAGCACCGGCUAACUCUGUGCCAGCAGCCGCGGUAAUACAGAGGGUGCGAGCGUUAAUCGGAUUUACUGGGCGUAAAGCGUGCGUAGGCGGCUAAUUGAGUCGGAUGUGAAAUCCCCGAGCUUAACUUGGGAAUUGCAUUCGAUACUGGUUAGCUUAGAAUUUUGGGAAGAGGAUGGUAGAAUUCCAGGUGUAGCGGUGAAAUGCGUAGAGAUCUGGAGGAAUACCGAUGGCGAAGGCAGCCAUCUGGCCUAACACUGACGCUGAGGUACGAAAGCAUGGGGAGCAAACAGGAUUAGAUACCUGGUAGUCCAUGCCGUAAACGAUGUCUA
rnacentral:rRNA from 1 species